ACAGCUCAAAUUUGAAAUCUGGCUCCCUUCAGGGUGUCCGAGUUGUAAUUUGUAGAGGAUGCUUUCGGCGAGGCGGCUGGUCGAGUCCUCUGGAAUGAGGCGCCACAGAGGGUGAGAGCCCCGUAUGAUCAGAAGGCCGAGCCGGUGUAAAGCUCCUUCGACGAGUCGAGUAGUUUGGGAAUGCUGCUCUAAACGGGAGGUAAAUUUCUUCUAAAGCUAAAUACCGGCCAGAGACCGAUA
rnacentral:rRNA from 1 species